rnacentral:rRNA from 1 species
AUGGCGGUCGCCGCCACAGCCAUGGCGAUGGCCACCACCUCCACUGCCGCCCACGUUGUUCCCGCACUGUUCUCCUUCCUUCAACAGCGCCUCCGUCUCUGCCCCAAAGCCCGUAUCUCCACCUCCCGCCGCCUCCUGCUCCCUGUCUCCAUGUUCUCCACCCGGGACGGUUCGGCCUCCUACCAUGAAGAGGAUGAGGAAGGGGAGGCGGAGGAUUCUGCGGAAGCCGCCUUCGGGGACGAGGACGACGAGAAGCCGCAGCCGGAGGCGGUGUCCUCUACGGAGUUUCAGUUCGCGGCACCACCGGAGGGAUACAUUGAGCCGGCGCCAUUCGACGAGUUGCCGCCGGAAUCACCAGAGGACGUGGCAGCAGCCUACGAGUCGCUCUACGGGCCGGCCUUCAGCGGCGAGUCGUUGAUGGGGAACAACGUGUUCGAGGUGAAAGUGGUGGACCCCGUCGACAUGGACCGGGACCAGCGCCCCAACGACGAGUUCAGCGAGCGUGUCGUGCAGGUCAGCCGAGUCACCAAGGCUGGCAUGAACGGCCGCCGCAAUCUCGUUACAGUGCCACUAACCAAGUACUGCACCUUCCCGCACAGAGCUGAGGCGAACUAUGGAGCAGCAAAGGUCAUGCUGAGGCCUGCUUGCCCUGGAUCUGGUGUCACUGCAGGUGGAGCUGUGAGGGUUGUGCUGGAGAUGGCUGGAGUUGAAAAUGCUCUUGGGAAGCAGCUGCGAAGCAAGAAUCCCCUCAACAAUGCAAGGGCUACCGUCAAGGCGACACAGAUGAUGAGACAGUUCUCAGACGUUGCUGCAGAGCGUGGACUUCCAAUGGAGGAGUUAUGGAAAUGA